rnacentral:rRNA from 1 species
AGAGUUUGAUCCUGGCUCAGGAUGAACGCUGGCGGCGUGCCUAAUACAUGCAAGUCGAGCGAACGGACGAGAAGCUUGCUUCUCUGAUGUUAGCGGCGGACGGGUGAGUAACACGUGGAUAACCUACCUAUAAGACUGGGAUAACUUCGGGAAACCGGAGCUAAUACCGGAUAAUAUUUUGAACCGCAUGGUUCAAAAGUGAAAGACGGUCUUGCUGUCACUUAUAGAUGGAUCCGCGCUGCAUUAGCUAGUUGGUAAGGUAACGGCUUACCAAGGCAACGAUGCAUAGCCGACCUGAGAGGGUGAUCGGCCACACUGGAACUGAGACACGGUCCAGACUCCUACGGGAGGCAGCAGUAGGGAAUCUUCCGCAAUGGUCGAAAGCCUGACGGAGCAACGCCGCGUGAGUGAUGAAGGUCUUCGGAUCGUAAAACUCUGUUAUUAGGGAAGAACAUAUGUGUAAGUAACUGUGCACAUCUUGACGGUACCUAAUCAGAAAGCCACGGCUAACUACGUGCCAGCAGCCGCGGUAAUACGUAGGUGGCAAGCGUUAUCCGGAAUUAUUGGGCGUAAAGCGCGCGUAGGCGGUUUUUUAAGUCUGAUGUGAAAGCCCACGGCUCAACCGUGGAGGGUCAUUGGAAACUGGAAAACUUGAGUGCAGAAGAGGAAAGUGGAAUUCCAUGUGUAGCGGUGAAAUGCGCAGAGAUAUGGAGGAACACCAGUGGCGAAGGCGACUUUCUGGUCUGUAACUGACGCUGAUGUGCGAAAGCGUGGGGAUCAAACAGGAUUAGAUACCCUGGUAGUCCACGCCGUAAACGAUGAGUGCUAAGUGUUAGGGGGUUUCCGCCCCUUAGUGCUGCAGCUAACGCAUUAAGCACUCCGCCUGGGGAGUACGACCGCAAGGUUGAAACUCAAAGGAAUUGACGGGGACCCGCACAAGCGGUGGAGCAUGUGGUUUAAUUCGAAGCAACGCGAAGAACCUUACCAAAUCUUGACAUCCUUUGACAACUCUAGAGAUAGAGCCUUCCCCUUCGGGGGGCAAAGGGACAGGUGGGGCAUGGUUGUCGUCAGCUCGGGUCGUGAGAUGUUGGGUUAAGUCCCGCAACGAGCGCAACCCUUAAGCUUAGUUGCCAUCAUUAAGUUGGGCACUCUAAGUUGACUGCCGGUGACAAACCGGAGGAAGGUGGGGAUGACGUCAAAUCAUCAUGCCCCUUAUGAUUUGGGCUACACACGUGCUACAAUGGACAAUACAAAGGGCAGCGAAACCGCGAGGUCAAGCAAAUCCCAUAAAGUUGUUCUCAGUUCGGAUUGUAGUCUGCAACUCGACUACAUGAAGCUGGAAUCGCUAGUAAUCGUAGAUCAGCAUGCUACGGUGAAUACGUUCCCGGGUCUUGUACACACCGCCCGUCACACCACGAGAGUUUGUAACACCCGAAGCCGGUGGAGUAACCUUUUAGGAGCUAGCCGUCGAAGGUGGGACAAAUGAUUGGGGUGAAGUCGUAACAAGGUAGCCGUAUCGGAAGGUGCGGCUGGAUCACCU